rnacentral:rRNA from 1 species
CAAUAUGAAGGUCAGGCUGAAGACCUUACCGAUUAGCUGAGAGGUGGUGCAUGGCCGUCGUCAGUUCGUACUGUGAAGCAUCCUGUUAAGUCAGGCAACGAGCGAGACCCACGUCCACAGUUGCCAGCAUACCCUCCGGGGUGAUGGGUACACUGUGGAGACCGCCGCUGCUAAAGCGGAGGAAGGAGUGGGCAACGGUAGGUCAGUAUGCCCCGAAUCUCCCGGGCUACACGCGGGCUACAAUGGUUGGUACAAUGGGCAUCUACCCCGAAAGGGGAAGGAAAUCUCUUAAAGCCAAUCGUAGUUCGGAUUGAGGGCUGCAACUCGCCCUCAUGAAGCUGGAAUCCGUAGUAAUCGCGUUUCAACAGAACGCGGUGAAUACGUCCCUGCUCCUU